rnacentral:misc_RNA from 1 species
AACCGCCGGGUGCGGAAAACCGCAUGUCUGGUGGUGUGGGAGGAGUGACGGGCGAUAGUCCGUCACUUCGACCCGAU